CAAGAAAGCUUUAAACUAGAUUUGAAGGGGGACGGGGUUGGAACCGGGGCUACUAAAGUGGUGCCCAGGAACAGCGCACCAAUGAUAUUAGGUAAAUGUGCCAGCCCUUCCGGAAAAAUAGUGGGAAGACUAGCCCGGCUGAAGUGCAUCUACAUGAAUGCACGCAGCAUGGGCAACAAACAGGAGGAGCUGGAGGCCAUCAUGCAGGAAGAAAACUACGAUUUAGUUGCCAUCACAGAAACGUGGUGGGAUGACUCGCAUAACUGGAGUGCUGCAAUUGAUGGCUACCAACUUUUCAGAAGGGACAGGCAAGGAAAGAGAGGAGGUGGGGUGGCCCUUUAUGUUAAGAACAGUCUUCUAUGCCUAGAACUUAGCAAUAUGCAUGAUGACAGUGUCGAGUGCCUGUGGAUAAGGAUCAAGGGGAAGACCAGUAAGGCAGACAUUGUGGUGGGAGUUUGUUAUAGACCCCCAAACCAGGAUAUAAAGACUGAUGAAGUAUUCUAUAGGCAGGUGACAGAAGCCUCACGAUCACUCUCCCUUGUACUCAUGGGGGACUUCAAUUUCCCUGAUAUCUGCUGGCAAUAUAACACAGCAGAGAGGCAACAGUCCUGGAGAUUCUUGGAAUGCGUGGAAGACAACUUCCUAACGCAGCUGGUGAGGGAACCGACCAGGGAAAGUGCCCUACUGGACCUGCUGAUAGUUAACUCGGAAGGUCUUGUGGGGGAUGUAAACGUUGGAGGCCGUCUUGGACAAAGUGAUCAUGAAAUGAUAAAAUUUUCAAUUCUCACUGAAGCAAGGCGGGGGGCCAGCAGGACUGCCACCCUGGACUUCCGAAGGGCAGACUUUGGCCUCUUCAGGAGCAUGAUUGGGGGUGUCCCUUGGGAGAUGGUCCUCGAGGGCAAGGGUGCCCAGGAAAGCUGGUCAUUCUUCAAGGAGGCACUCUUAAAGGCGCAAGAUAAAGCUAUUCCCAAGUCCCUAAAAUCAAGCAGGAAGGGAAGAAGACCAGCCUGGCUAAAUAGAGAGCUUCGGCUGGAACUCAGGAACAAAAAGAAGGCUUAUAAUCUUUGGAAAAAGGGCCUGGCAGAUAAGGAGAAAUACCAUGAAGCGGUGAGGAUA
rnacentral:lncRNA from 1 species